UUGCUUCUGCAGCACAUAUACUAAAAUUGGAACAAUACAGAGAAGAUUAGUAUGACCUUUGAGCAAAGAUGACAUGUAAAUUUGUGAAGCAUUCCAUAUUUUU
rfam:Pteropus alecto contig166135, whole genome shotgun sequence.